rnacentral:rRNA from 1 species
UGCAGUCGAGCGAACUGAUUAGAAGCUUGCUUCUAUGACGUUAGCGGCGGACGGGUGAGUAACACGUGGGCAACCUGCCUGUAAGACUGGGAUAACUUCGGGAAACCGAAGCUAAUACCGGAUAGGAUCUUCUCCUUCAUGGGAGAUGAUUGAAAGAUGGUUUCGGCUAUCACUUACAGAUGGGCCCGCGGUGCAUUAGCUAGUUGGUGAGGUAACGGCUCACCAAGGCAACGAUGCAUAGCCGACCUGAGAGGGUGAUCGGCCACACUGGGACUGAGACACGGCCCAGACUCCUACGGGAGGCAGCAGUAGGGAAUCUUCCGCAAUGGACGAAAGUCUGACGGAGCAACGCCGCGUGAGUGAUGAAGGCUUUCGGGUCGUAAAACUCUGUUGUUAGGGAAGAACAAGUACGAGAGUAACUGCUCGUACCUUGACGGUACCUAACCAGAAAGCCACGGCUAACUACGUGCCAGCAG